UACGUAGGGGGCUAGCGUUGUCCGGAUUUAUUGGGCGUAAAGGGCGCGUAGGCGGCGCGGUAAGUCACUUGUGAAAUCUCUGAGCUUAACUCAGAACGGCCAAGUGAUACUGCAGUGCUAGAGUGUGGAAGGGGCAAUCGGAAUUCUUGGUGUAGCGGUGAAAUGCGUAGAUAUCAAGAGGAACACCUGAGGUGAAGACGGGUUGCUGGGCCAACACUGACGCUGAGGCGCGAAAGCCAGGGGAGCAAACGGG
rnacentral:rRNA from 1 species